AAAAAAAAAAAAAAAAAAAAAGACUCCACAUAAGUCAAGCUUGGUGAGCCAGUGGAUUUACUGGGAUCCCUUAUAGGAGUGCAGGGGAGAAAGGUUAAGUACAGGAGCAUGGACAACUCAAUGACAGCUGCAUCACCAAAAUGUCCCAGGCCAGUCUGGGGGAUGAUUCAUGAAAGCUGCUUCCCUGAAGCUCCUUGUAUAACAUAUGGGAAAGUCCACUCAACAGUUUCUUCUCCCAGCAUAGUUUACUGUGUGUAAUUCCUUGAGGAGAGCCUCAUGGAUAUUGUAAGUUUCAUGAACUUCCUGAGCCUUCUGAACUUCCUGACCACAUCCAUGGAGGAGUAUUUCAAUUUGGACAAAAUAAAGCCUCCGUUUCUUCUCCUGUUCCUCUAUGAUCUUACUUCCCCAGGCUACUAUCCCUGAUUUAAUUGCAAUCGGGAAGCCUCAGGGAGUCACCUAAAGGCUGUGCAUACCAGUAAGUGACAAGAUCAUUGGAAAACAUGUAUCUAAGUAUACAAUCAUUAGAAAUAAACAACCCUCCUCUCUUCUAGAAAAAAUUUUCCUUGCCUAACCUCAGGUAAAUUUUACCCAGCUUCCAGGCCACUACCUGCCCCUCCUCUUCUGUAAACUUAUCUUACUUUGUGGGCCCUAUGAUAUUGUUUAAUACUUGCUAUAUUGUUGUGACAUAAUACCUAACAGAAAUCACUUAUUGAAGGAAAGGGUUAAUGGUUCACAUUUCUAGAUCUACACUCUGAAGGCUGCCAGAGCAGGACCCCAGCCUAUGGUAUGGUAACACCCCCAUUUAGGUUGAGUUUUCUCACAUCAGUUAACCUAAAAUACAUAAUCCCUCACAGAUAUGCCUGGGGAUUUGUUUCCAUGGUGAUUCUAAAUUUCAUCAAGUACACGACUGUUCACAAAUCACUUUUACUUUAUCUGUACCAGUACAUUUUCCUUAAAAUUUAUUUUUAGUUUCAUGGUUAUCAAAGUCCUUGAUAGAAGACAGAAAGGAAGACUGUGAUAUCUGCUAAGUGCUGCUGGUUAAUUGAUUAAUAGACUGAAUUAUGAAAGGGUAAUUCCAGCCUUCACAUGUCUUUUGGUAUAGGUUCAAAAUCCAGAUUCUCACACAUUAUCUUCUUCUUCCCACCCAGUGUCGUUUCAGUGGGCAUCUGGGAGGAAAGAGUUCAGGUGCUGAGAAGAAAGAUACAGAGGCAGGGCAUCAGACCCUUUGAUGUGCUUUCUACACUGAGAGCUGCUGAAAAAUGCAAAUGGGAUCUUCAGCUAGUAGAAGCAUAUCAAUAUUAGGAGGUACAUAGAAAAGAGGGAGGAAAGAAUAUGGAACACUUAACAGGAAGAUAAUGCCACUGGCUGGCAGGCACUUAGGAGUCUGGCUCAUAAAAAAAUUACUCCUACAAUUACAUACCAAGUUUUGCUUAGCAUUUGUGUGUGAAUCAUGGUAUUGAUUUCAUGCAAAAAGAAAACACCGCCACAUUUUGUUGCAUGUUAGGAUAUAGAAGAUGUAGUGGAGAGGGAGGGGUAGUUGAGAGAAAACCCAAAAAGGAUGGAUAAAGAUGUCUGUUUCAUUCCAGUUCUUACUGCAAGAACCAGCAGCUGAGCAGUAAGCAGGUUGCUAAUUAAAAAUGACUCCACUUCCUUCUGCCUCUUUUUCUCAAGGGCAGUGCCAGAGAGACACUUGCCAGAUAAAUUUUUAUUCUUCUGUUUUAGUUGGGAUUUAAUCAUUGGAAAGGGGAAGAGAGGAAGAUUUCAGUUAUACCUACGGGUGAAAACAAACUUGAUUCUCACUGAAAAACAACCCAUAUCUCCAGACCCAGAAGAAUGUGAUAGGGACAUUUUUUGGCUGAGAAAACCCACUGAGUUCCUUGUGCCAGUUGGACUGUCAUGGUGCUUAUCUGUAACUGUUGAAGCCUGUCCUGCAAUUUUCUUUUGAAAAAAAGAUUUGGUUUACUUAAUUUGUAUUUGAGCUAACAGAAGCACCCGGAAGAACUUGGGUUGGUAAAUUAAUAGGGUCCAUCACAUGGCCAUCAAAGAGUGAAGCUGUGUACUCACCUUUGGGACCAUCACAGGGCCAUCACCAUCAAAGAAUGAAGUUGUGUACUCACCUUUGGGUAGGGACUAGUCUACUCCUUUAAUUCACUGCCAAUCCCAUAAGGGAAUUCACAGGGGAGGAUGUGCUAGUGUUUGUGUUUUCUUUAUCAUAGGAGUUCCAGAGCUCAUUUUUGUUCAAAUUUAUAUCCUGGCUCUGGAGUAUUGGUCUGACAAGAGUAGAAAUGGGAGGAAGCAAUUAUGAAAGAGAAUAGAGCUGGUGAAGAGAGGCUUUAGCUACUACCUAAAGUAUGAGCCCCAGUGAAAGAACAGGUAGACUGAAAAUGAAAUAAAUGCCUUACCUAAAAGUGUGGCUCCAUCCUUGCAGGAGAUACUUCACUUUGGUCAGGGCCAGAAGGUACUUAGCAGAUGCUGGCAGGGAUAAGAAUAGUGGCCACUCUUACUGAGGGUGGAGACAUUGCCCACCAUAAUUGAAUUCUAGGCUGAUCUCAGAAUGGAACAUCUUUCUGCCCAAGAACCAUUGCUAUGUGGCUGAAUGUACUUGUAUUUUAUUGGGAGAUAAUCUGAUGAUAUCAAGAACAAACCCUUCUCCCAUUUUCCAGGCCUUUACCAAGGCUUUCCCUCCCAUUGGGCCCCCAAGAAAGUUAUUUCCUUGUUGUUCUUUAAUCACCAGUAUUUCUAGGUAGGUUAAGUAUAUGGUUAAUGUGAAAGAUACACUUGGUCUCCUUGCCCAAAACCGUUAGGCCAGGAAAGGAAGAGCAGCUUGAUGAAGUUGCUGUGGAGUUCCUUCGGGCUUUGAACAAAUUGCUCUAAUAUGAGAAGCCACCAGUCUGCUUCCCAGUGUCAUUAAGGAGCCCCAUGUGAAGGAAGGAUAUUAGUUUUCACUUAGAGAGCGAAGGGCACCAACAACUGAGGAGAGAAAGACUGCAAUAUGGUUAAUGGGGCAAUUUGGUGACCCAAUUGGGAGCCCAGACACUUCGCCUCCUGCCAAGCUCUAGCAAAUUUGUAUGAUACAGAAACAGAGCAGGAUGAAUAGAUCAAUGCAUUUGUUCAUUCUAUUAAGGAGGAAAGGGAAAGGCAUAGUUUGGGUUUCUUUCUAUCAAAACCAAUUUCUUCACCUUACAGGCAUGAGGGUUGCAUCGCACCAUCUUUUGUUCAGAGAGCUGGAAAGGUUCCCAGCUGGGAAAGGUCGAGUUUUAUGUAACGAAAUUUGAACCAAUAAUCAGCCUUUCACCUCAGAGACGUCUGUUGUAUUAAAAACUUAAUAAAUAUUAAUUACAUGUUAAGGCUAGUCUCGUUUCAUUUUACAGAUUGCUCUCUCUCUCUCUUUUUUUAAAGUCUGCAAAAAGAGAACCAUUUUUUUUUCUUUUCUAAGAAGUCCUGUAGUAUGACUUAGCUUUCAAUAUAUUGUGUGUUUUCUUUUUAGUUCUGAGGUUACAACAAAAUUCAACUAUAUUUUAUUUUGAACUGAAUUGGCUUCUUUUUACUAUGGAGAAUGAAUGAAGGCAGGCUGAAGGAAAAGCAGAGAAUGGAAUUCAGCCUAGAGUCAGUAUCUUCUUUCAUUGCCUGAGGGGCAUAGCCCUACAUCCUAAUUACUGUUGCAUCUUUCACCUCCAAUCAUCUACCAGUUGUUCUUUCUAGACUGUUACAGGUGGGGAUGACUUCCUGUUGUAGAAGCUGUUGCUUUUCAUCCAUCUAUUCUGUUAACGACAAAACUAUGAUUUAGCUGGGCAGUGGUGGCGCACGCCUUUAAUCCCAGCACUUGGGAGGCAGAGGCAGGCAGAUUUCUGAGUUCAAGGCCAGCCUGGUCUACAGAGUGAGUUUCAGGACAGCCAUGGCUACAAAGAAAAACCCUGUCUUGAAAAACCAAGCAAACAAACAAACCCCAUUAUUUACUUAGAAAUCCAACUUCUUCAUAUUUAGUUCCUGUUUAGGACAAGGAGGCUUCAAUUGUGGGUCAUUGGCUCUGGGCUGCCUGACCAAUCCCAGCACUAAGUACUUUUGUCUUCUGGUGAACUCACCUAGACAUAUGAAGCCGCUGAUGCUGACAGCUAGCACAGUUCCCACUUCAGAGAAUAUGAUGAACACAGCUCAGAUGAAUACAGCAAAAAUUAGUUCCAGGUAAUCAUCUUAAAACAACUUGACUUCCCUUCCUGGGAGAAUUAGAGCUGGAAGGGCAGAAGCAUGGAGCUGUGGAGGUCAUUCACAGCAAAGCCAGUAAGUAUGCAAAGAGCAGAGUCUAGGAUGGGCAGGUACAUGGUUCAACCACCCUAACCCUGGGACCCUCACAAACACUCACAUAGCUGUUUUCCAACACACAUGGGCUAUGUGCAUAUCUCAGUCUUAAAGUGCCAGACCAGGCAGUGAUUUUUAAAAAGUCUGACAUGCUGGAUUGUUUCAUACUCGUUGAUAGGAAAUGAGAAAGAAGACAAUGGACUCUACAUAGAAAACAUCUAUCUACAAACAUGAGUAAGUGUUUCAAUAAUUGCUGAAGAACAACAAGCCAAUGAAUGCUGCAGGCGAACUGACCUGGGAAAGCUUCCUCUUGGCCAACAUGGAAAUAGGAGGUUCAGAUUGGUGGAGGAAAAGAGGGACACCUCACACUUGCCCAGCAUGAUCAGCAGUAAAAAACACCAUAUGGAGAAGUUCAUGAUCAGGGGAGAGGAAGGCAGCUGCCUGGAGCCCUAUCCAUCAUCCACAUUCAGGUUCCCACGAUCAAUGCCACAGUCAGUCAUUGGCCAUCCUUGAAACACCAGAAUCAUUAUGAACAAACACCAGAGACUCACAGAUUGAAUUCCUCUUACUGCUCCAGAGGCCAGCAAUGCCAAACAUACAGGAUGCACAAAAAUUGCUUUAUGAGGUGGGUACUUGAACAUGGAUCAGGUCACUUACUGUUGCCCUAAAUAAGUCCUAAGACAAAUGAAAUAGCUCUUAUUUAGCUGUUUCCCUGUUGAAGGGGCCUCCCCUGCACAUAAUGUUAGGUUUAUAAGCUGACCAGCUUGUCCAGAAAUUAGGAAUUUCAAACCCCUACAAAUCUGGUGGUAUGAUGGAACUGUCCAGGGACUCUGGGUCCCCUCAGACCUUAUCAAUCUUUUUGGGCUAGCCCAUGGUAGCCCUUCUUCACUACCCAUCCUUUUAAAGAGGGCUCUAGUGUUCUCUUCCCAAUGUUGCUUCCCAAGGCUCUUAUAUGUCAAUUGUUCAUUCUUUACUGUGAAUUAACACAUGCAGGAGUCUCAUAGUCUACAUUCCUGCGAAGAUCACCACACAUGUACAUUUCCUCUGAUGCUCUUCUGCCAUGUUUCCAGUUGUCCAUUUUGCCUUUCUAGGUCUAGGGUCAGUUUGAUCUGUGUACAGUUUACCUGGUUUCUAUAGCAACCAUAUCUGGUUUGUCUCUCUCUCUCUCCUGUGUGUGUGUGCAUGUGUGUAUGUAUAAGCAUGAUGAGUGUGUGUCUGUGUCUGUGUGUGUGCAGAUUCACAUGCAAAGGCCAGAUGUGAACUUCUGGUAUCUUUUUCUAUUACUCCCUACUCUAUUCCCUUGAGACAGGGUUUCUCACUGAACCUGGAGCUUGCUGACAUUAGCCUGAUCAUUCCUCCUCUCUACAUAUCUCACAUACAAUAACACUGGGGUUAUGGGUAAAUAUGGACAUGCCUGUCUUUUCAUAUACAUGCUGCAAAUCCAAACUCAGGUAUUUGGACUUUUCUUUAAAAGGAAUUGUGUCACAUAUCUAAGGGUUUUAUCAUACUUCAUCCUAACAUGUUAACCAAUCUUAUACAUAGUUCAUGGAAGUCCUUGAGAUUAUGAUGUUAGAGAGAAAUCAAUCUGGAUUUUGAGUCCUAGCUCUGCCCUACUGCAGUCACUGAGCCCAGGAAACCAACAUUUGAAUUACUCUCUGGCAUGUCCCACUUAUUACUUCCAACCUUGGUAGCCUCAGUAUACAGAUGAGAAUAAUGAAUCUCAGAGACGUUGGGUAGCAUGUCUGCACAAACACAGCAUCCAGGGACACUUACACUUAAGCUGUCAGAACCCCCAGGAAAGCUCUUAGUUAUUAAGUGUUGCAGAGUUUCAAUAAAAGGAAGAUUAAAUAUGGCAAGACUGUUUAGGACAACCUCCUAAUGCUCCAAAUUUUAUUCUACUGGUAACAAGAUCCUUAUAGAAAUUAUUAUUAUUAUUUUGUUACAAUCUGCCCAGAACAUCAAAACAAAAAGCAUCUUUGGCCCUCAGAGACUCCAGGGUUACUGGGUCUUGUGGCAGUCUUGUGCUCUCCUAUCCUAAUAUCUCUGGUUGGCUUCACGAUAUGGUAACACACCCCCACCCCUCCUUCAGUAAAUAUUUUAUCUUUCACAAACAGCUGGGAGGAGAGAGGUACACUGGCAGCAGGCUGGGUCAAUCCUGUUUAAAUAUUGAUCACAAACAUGGUUAAAAUAAAAGUUUAUCGACUCAGCUGGCGACUCUGCAGCUUCAACACUCUGCAGAACAGCUUUCCCUGUGUGGUGACUCCACACAACUCACUUGAGUUAUGAUGUUAAUAAGUGAGGCCCCUCCUUGGGGAGUAUAGUGAUGUCCUGGAGGCAGCUUCAGGAAGAAAGCGGCCUUCUGCUGGAGCCAUUGCCAAGACCAAUAUCUCCUGUUCUGAAAGGACAGCCUUGGGGAUGCUUCCCUUUCAGCUAGCACACUUCUUCCUAAGACUAUGAACCUGCAUCUCCUGUGACCUUGAGAACAGGGAGUAAAGUGAAGAGUAGAGAGACCUAUAAGGGGCAUGACAUCAGUGGGUGAUUCUCUUCUCCUGGGGCUUUUCGACCAAAUAUUAACGUCUAUCAGAAUCCUCAGAGGACUCUUGGCAAUUAAGACCCAUAGCCCACCCUGGGGUCACUAGCAUGGAGCUCCAGGGUAGGGUGGUUUAUUUAACUGAGUGCAUCUACUCUUGUGGAAUAUACCCACCCCCCAAUAUGUAGAAAGUCAUCAGUUAAAAAAAACUGCUCUGAUUUCAGGUACUAGAGCAUAUUGGAACAGGUAGGCUAGGGCUUUUACACCCCUGAUGAAGUCCCUGGCAACUUAAAUUCCACAUGAAAACUUAGGAGAGUGGUUGAUAGCUCUGGCCUGGUUGCUUCAAUUAGAAGACCAAGUCAGGAGACCCACUGCUCCUCAGCACUACCCUAGGCCUCUGAAAAUGAUGGCUUGAAAGCUACAAUACAAUAAAAGUGUCUUUUCCUCACCAACAUGGUAGUGAAGCUCCAACUAGAGGUUGGAGCAUAUAUGUAUAUGUUCAUCUAUAAAAAUAUGUUCAACUAGAACAUAACAGCUAGAGAUACGUUCACCUGUAGGAGCCUAGGUGGGAGCCUACUUUUCCCCUUGAGGAUAGCUGUAACAUCUAACAGGUGAUACAUGACCACUUCUGAAGUAAUGGGAGGCUGCCUUUGGCAAAAAACUCAGCCUGGUGUAAGUCCUAGCAGAGAAUCUGCAUCUUUAAUCUCAUGAGAGCUGGAGAAACGUCAUCCAGAGCUUUCCAAGCAUUCUGCCAACAGAGUUUACUCCAGCCUAUCCCAGCUGUGUCCUCUAGACAGAACAGGCUAUGGGAGGAGUGUACAAGGAAGGAUUGGUGAUGUAGCGACAGAGGAUUUAGGGGAAACAGAUGACAGGCUGACCCAGCCAGGAUUGAUUGGGUGUAUUCUUCCAUGUGUAUUAAAGCUUUUUGUACCUUCAUGUUAGUCAUGAUUAAAGGACUUAGCUUCCUUCCCAGUGGCAGACAUGCUGGAGAGGAUCUUGAGAAAGCAGCUAAUUCUACAGGAGGAAAAAGUAUGUCCCUGCCCUAGGGCCUUUGCAUUUCCCUUCAGUUUGUACCAUUCUUCCAGAGAUCUAUAUGACUCUGUUCUUCCAGUAAAACCUCUAGCUAAACAUCUUUCCUAAGCCUCCCAGCUAAAAAGGCACCCCCACACUUUCUGAAGCUCUGUGUCUACUAUUCUUCCACUCUCUCCCUUGUAACACUUGUCAGCACUUGACAUUUUGUUCAGCUUUGUAUUCCAAUGCAUCUCAGUCUGUCUCCUGGAGGCAUCUACAUUCCAUAUAAAUGGGUUUGCUUGCCAUCUUCUGUACUGUGUCUUGAGGGUCUCAUCUCCAUUAUGCACACCACAGGUGCU
rnacentral:lncRNA from 1 species